CGGGAUUCAGGCUCUUCCCGGAAUCCCAGCUCCGGGCAGCACCCCCUUCCUGGUGGCCUUGGUGGCCAUGGAUCAGAUCCUGGAGGGAUUCGCCGUGGGAGGAUCCCGGGGUCGCCCCCAGCUCCAGCCUCUCCCUUUUGUUCUCCCUCCUCCCUCUCCUGUUCCCGAGGAGCUUCCCGAGAAAAUGCUGGGAAACCAUGGAAACCACCCGCUCCCGUCGGAAUCCGGGCAGGAAAAAAAGCAGGAAAAAAGCAGGAAAAAAGCAGGAAAAAAGCAGGAAAAAAGCAGGAAGGGCCACCCAGGCCCCUUCCCUUCCCCCAUGGAAUCACCUGAAAUCCCAAGGACUCACCUGGAUUUGGAAAUAAAAAUUGGGCGGGAUUAACUCCGGGCAAAAAUUCCAGAUUUCCUCCUUUUCCCAACACCAAUGAUGCAUCUUCACCGGAUUCCCAGAGCUGGGAAUUCUGGGGAAAAAACCCUCGGAGGGAUAAAGCCGUGGGGAAAAGGAUGGAGGAGGUGGGAUGCUCCCAGGAAUGCUCCCAUUGAUGGUUUUCCAUAUGGAGGCUUGGCAGGGCAGCUUUGCUUUUUUUCCCAUUCUCCGGGAUUUGAUAAAAAUAGAUUUAUUAAAUUAUUUUAUUUUUUUAUAAAAUAGUUUAAUAAAUUUGGUAAAUUAUUAAUAAAAUUCAAUACAGGGUCGAAGGAUGGGA